CCUACGGGUGACAGCAGUGAGGAAUAUUGGUCAAUGGACGAGAGUCUGAACCAGCCAAGUAGCGUGAAGGAUGACUGCCCUAUGGGUUGUAAACUUCUUUUAUAUGGGAAUAAAAUGUUCCACGUGUGGGAUUUUGUAUGUACCAUAUGACUAAGGAUCGGCUAACUCCGUGCCAGCAGCCGCGGUAAUACGGAGGAUCCGAGCGUUAUCCGGAUUUAUUGGGUUUAAAGGGAGCGUAGGUGGAUUGUUAAGUCAGUUGUGAAAGUUUGCGGCUCAACCGUAAAAUUGCAGUUGAAACUGGCAGUCUUGAGUACAGUAGAGGUGGGCGGAAUUCGUGGUGUAGCGGUGAAAUGCUUAGAUAUCACGAAGAACUCCGAUUGCGAAGGCAGUUCACUGGACUGCAACUGACACUGAGGCUCGAAAGUGUGGGUAUCAAACAGGAUUAGAUACCCUUGUAGUC
rnacentral:rRNA from 1 species